CCAAGCCCGGACCAGCGUCGGGACCUUCCUGUGGAAAGCCUCAGCUGCGCGGCGUCUGAGGCUUCGUGCCCAAAGUGCUAUGCUUCGGCCGGCAAAAAACAGUCAACUCAGAACUGGCACGGACCGGGGGAAUCCGACUGUCUAAUUAAAACAAAGCAUUGCGAUGGCCGCUGGUCGGUGUUGACGCAAUGUGAUUUCUGCCCAGUGCUCUGAAUGUCAACGUGAAGAGAUUCAUCAAAGCGCGGGUAAACGGCGGGAGUAACUAUGACUCUCUUGUCUGGAUGCCCAGGUGGUGGGGACCCGGGUUCGCCUCAGCGAUGCCCACUUGGCAAAGUGUGCCAAAUAUGAUACAGCGAGUAUGAGAGCGUCCCUGGCGAGGGUCGGCUUCAACAAUCCAUCGUUCAACAGCAUCACACUAUCAUAUAGAGGUGUUUGGGCCGAGGAAAGUGCCCAGGUGCUCCAGGCCUUAGGCAUGGGGCGCCAUGACAUCAAGCUACUAACUCUUAAAUGCAUCCAGGGGUCUUUGGAGUGCUUCCGGGUGCAGCAACAUAUGACCACCGUGCUAACGACACGGGCGAUGCCGCACCCAGACUGACUGCUGUUUCUUCCAACACUAACCCCUCCACACUUCGGCGUGGAGAUUUUGGUCCCUCUGCCGUUUCAGAGGAUAAGAAUUUACCAUGCCCCGUUUUUUCUUUUUCUCUUCGUUGGGUGACUGAGGGGCUCUGAUCCUUAAGUUCGAGGCUCGGACUUGACCCCCUUGAGCUACCCAACAUACUAACCACUUCUAUCUCUUGGCAG
rnacentral:ncRNA from 1 species